rnacentral:lncRNA from 1 species
UAGAAUCAGUGCUCAGCUGAGGCGCAACCCACACUGGCGGCAUUUUGGCAUUGCGAGGACCUCCUGAGGGGCCAGAGCUGGACCAUUUUCACAGAUGAAACUCAGCCAAGCUGUUUAAUGCUUCCUUCGUAUGUUUGGAAAAGUAAUAAAAGAGUCUUGGUCUGUAACCAGGACUGAAGUGCACAGCUGAUUGCAACCUUGAACUCCUGGCCUCAAGUGAUCCUCCUGCCUUGGUCACCCAAAGUGCUUGGAUUAGAGGUAUGAGCCACCAUGCCUAGCUCUCCUGUAUUUUUUACAAUUAGCCCUUAUAUAGUGUUUACUAUGUGCCAAGAACUGUACUAAGUGCUUCACAUAUUUAACUUAUUCAAUUAUUACAGCAAUCUUGUUAGGGUAGCAUUAUUAUUAUCCCUCUUUUAUAUAUGAGGAAACUGAGGUACAGAGGGAUCAAGUAAAUGCCCAAGGCCUCAUAGCUGAAACCCUAAGCGAACAUUUUCAGAGUUCAUGAGGUACUUCAGGAAAGGGGUGGAGGAAUCCAAA